GGGGAGGGACCACAGCACCAACACAGACAGAGGAAGCUGAAAUUUUGUCUGUUUUACACCAUAAAGACUCAAGCGGAUCGAUCAGGAAACCUACAGACGAGAUGGAGUUGAAAUGCAGGAAUGAGGCUUGAUUAUCUUAUAAGAUGAUUCUGAAAAUUGGUCAGCCAAUGAGACGACCUCACUCGCCGCUGUCCUGCAACCAUACUGCAUGAUCACAUGAGGAAAAGCAGGCGGUGCUGGACCAAGGCCAGGAGGAUCGUGAAGGACCUCAGCCAUCCCAACAACGGACUGUUCUCUCUGUUGAGGUCAGGAAAGCGAUUCCUGAAGACCAACACAGAGAGACUGAGGAGGAGCUUCUUCCCGCAGGCGAUACGGAGGAGUGAUACACCUCGCUGGAGUGGCACAAAUAAUUAGUGUGGGAUAUUACUGUGACACCUAAUUGUUCUGUAAAUAGUUUUAAAUAAUACCAAAGCCUGAAGCAUUGCUUGUAUAUUUAUGUAAAGAGUUCCAUAUAACAUUGCAAAAUUUGUGCACAAGUUUUUGAAAUUUACAAUUUCUAUUUGAUUUUCAUGUUAGAAAAUAAUUUGCUAAAGUUUUUUGUACGCUGAUGUUUUUUUGUGUGUAAUUUUAGAUUAAUUGUGUUAACUCAGUAUGUCAAAAUGAAAAAAUGACUAAAUUCAGACACGUGAGGUUGUGCUGAAAAGAAUGAUACCAAAUAAAGCAUGAAAAGCAUUUUUAAAGGUGAAAUAAAAGGAUAAAAUCAAAAGUAGUCUACAGCAGACUCCAGUGUGGUAAAGCCCUAAAGCACUCCUAAGAAUUAGAGCUGAAUGUCUCGACUUCACUGUUGUUAACUGAUGAACACACAGAAUGAAUCCAUGUGUAGUGAAGUUCAAAUUUAGGAGAUUUUAAAACCAUUCAUUAUAAAAACAUAAAAUCUCCUCAUUGUACUACAGCUUGCAUUAAUUCAAGAACAUAUUGUAUACAGAAAUAAACAAAUACGAGCUGCUG
ensembl:lncRNA